UACGUAGGGGGCAAGCGUUGUCCGGAUUUAUUGGGCGUAAAGAGCGUGUAGGCGGUUUUACAGGUCCGCUGUGAAAACUCGAGGCUCAACCUCGAGACGCCGAUGGAAACCAUCUGACUAGAGUCCGGAAGAGGAGAGUGGAAUUCCUGGUGUAGCGGUGAAAUGCGCAGAUAUCAGGAAGAACACCCGUGGCUAAGGCGGCUCUCUAGUACGUGACUGGACGCUGAGACGGCGAAAGCGUGGGGAGCGAACAGG
rnacentral:rRNA from 1 species